GUGGUCGGCUUGAUUGGUUGAGAAGAGCUGUUGGAAAUGGUAACCUCCCAAGGCUCUCACUAUUUAUUUGUUAAUAUAUAUAUUUGCUAAUCUGUAUUUUAUGUUUAUGUUGAUUUACCAGUUUGACUGUACCUCUUUGGUGUUGGCGGGAUUACAGACACGUGAUUGUACUGAGCAUGUUCGGACUCAGGACUCCAUUUUAUAUUGUGUCUGCUUUACACCACAGUGGAAGUGGAUGCAUGUUUGCAUCAGACCUCAGUGGAGAUGUAUGUAUGUUGCUGUUUGGACUUCGGUAGAGAAGUAUGACUUAUGGACUCCAGUGAGUACAACUAUACCUAAAGACUAUGAGCUAUUGAUUAAGAAUGAUACCCUGUGUACUCAACACACAGAGAACUACAUCCUAUCGAUAAAUGAAGGAAGUUCAUCAGGAUAACACUAUCCAAUUCACAAAGUUAACAAGGAAGGCAUCAAAGUUAAUAAGGAAGACAUCAGUACAAAAUGAACAAAGGAACUCAACAAAGAAGCUCAACUCUCAGAACUUGAAAACGUUUCUUCUGGGAAUAGCAACUCUCAAAAUUCUCCAGUCCACAUGACCAAAGAUUCUGGGAAUUACAGUCUAAAAUGUAGCUUUCCUAGUCUUAGCCAUAUGGAUUUGAAAUAUAUUGUUGAAUUGCAUUGAAUUUUUGAAUGUCUGUGGAGUCCUCAUUCAGUAAACUUCCAAGGUCAGGUAUUGAUGGUGAUUUUUUGAUCGAUGAAAGACAAUACAAAUUGCACAGAAUUGCACAGAAAAGCCACAUCAUUCAAAUACUGUUAAUUUAUAAACCAGGAUGGGGUUAUAAACCCUCUGGUUUCAUUUAUAUUUUUGGUACAUUGCUGGGAAUGUACACACACACACAUACACUUGAGAUGUUGUGAAUUUUAUAUUUUUCUUCAACUUUUCCUCUUACAAGAAGGAGGAUGCUUCAGUAUGAGAGUUGCAUAAGGAAAAGGGUUAAAUUCUCAUUCAAACCUUCCUUUUGGAUGACAUGUCUUAACAUUGGAAUAUAUUUUAAUUAUGUUUUUAUGUAUGUAUUUAAUCUUAAUUUAAUUUUAAUUCAAGUUUAUGUUUUUAUGUCCCCCUGUCACCAGCAACUCAUUGGGAACUGUCUGCAAAAGUUCUCAGAUAUGGAGUAAAAAAUACAAAUUUAAAAUCAUGCUUUUUACCUUAAAUUUAUUCUGAGACGCAGCUUAGGGGCAGAGUCUGCUGACUGUCCAGUCAACCUCAUGUCAACAGAGGCAAAAUUCUGGAAAAAAAUUAUUAAAGAAGUGGUGUCAAACACUUAGAAAGGAAUGUGGUCAUUACUAAUAGUCAACACGGAUUUAUCAAAAACAAGUCAUGCCAGACAAAUCUGAUUUCUUUUUUCCAUAGAGGUACAAGCUGGGUAGAUGCAGGGAACACCAUGGAUGUAUCGUAUCUGGAUUUCAAUAAGGCCUUCAACAAGUUUCCCCAUGACCUUCUGGCAAACAAACUAGUCAAAUGUGGGCUAGGCAAAACUACGGUUAGGUGGAACUGUAAUUGGUUAAGUGAAUAAACCCAAAUGGUGCUCAGCAAUGCUUGCUCUUCAUCCUGGAAAGAAGCCACGAGUGGAGUGCUGCAGGGUUCCGUCCUGGACCCGGUUCUGUUCAACAUCUUUAUUAAUGACUUUGAUGAAGGGCUAGAAAGCAUGAUCAUCAAGUUUGCAGAUAACACCAAAUUGGGAGGGAUAGUUAAUACUCCAAAAGACAGGAGCAGAAUUCAAAACAAUUUUAACAGAUUAGAGAGAUGGGCCGAAACUAACAAAAUGAAGUUCAACAGGAACAAAUGCUCCACUUAGGCAGAAAAAAUGAAAUGCAAAGAUACAGAAUGGGAGAUGCCUGGCUCAACAGCAAUAUGUAUGAAAAAUAUACUUGUGAAUGACAAGUUAAACAUGAGCCAACAAUGUCAUGUGGCGGCAAAAAAAAGCGAAUGGGUGUUUGGCCUGCAUGAAUAGGAGUAUAGUGUCUAGAUCCAGGGAAGUCAUUCUACCCCUCUAUUCUGCCUUGGUCAGACCACACCUGGAAAUACUGUGUCCAUUUCUGGGCACCGCAAUUGAAGGGAGAUGUUGACAAGCUGGAAUGUGUCCAGAGGAGGGUGACUAAAAUGAUCAAGGGUCUGGAGAACAAGCUCUAUGAGGAGAGACUGAAAGAGCUGGGCAUGUUUAGCCUGCAGAAGAGAAGGCUGAGAGGAGACAUGAUAGCCAUGUACAAAUAUGUGAAGGAAAGUCAUAGGGAGGAGGGAGCAAGCUUGUUUUCUGCUGUCCUGGAGACUAGGACGCGGAACAACAGCUUCAAACUACAGGAAAGGAGAUUCCACCUGAAUUUUAGGAAGGACUUUCUAACUAUGAGAGUUGUUCAGCAGUGGAACUCUCUGCACCGGAGUGUGGUGGAGGCUCCUUUUUGGAGGCUUUUAAACAGAGGUUAGAUGGCCAUCUGUUGGGGGUGCUUUGAAUCUUGAAAAUAUGUUUAUGAAUUAAAGAUUUCAUUUUUUUAAAUUAAAUUCUUUUAGUAAAAGUACAGAAUUAGAGGCUAUAUAACUGUAUAAUGCUUAAAAUAGCUUAAAAACAGGUGAGAAAGUGACAUCAGGAGAAAUCUGAAUGAAUUGGGAGAAGAAACAAUUUCAGCAUGUGUUGAGUCAAAAGGGAAUUCGUUUCAAAAUGUAAGAAAUGGGUGUGUUGGGAUUUCUAUGCAUCCCAUGUGUGUAGCAUAUGCAUCCAGUCAUUAUCAGCUACGGGAUGCAUACAGAUUUACCAUUUGUUUCUUUGAAUGUGAUGAGAUACAAAGAAGAACAGUUAAGCUGUAACUAGCAAAUACAAGGACACUAUUGUAGUCUAUUGUACAAAAUGCAUACACCACCUGUAACUCCAAUUUCACUUAGACCUUACAUCUAGCAUGUAACUUGACUCUAUGCAGACUAUAAAAAUGUUCAUUAUUCCUGUACUGGAUGUGAUAUGAAAGCUCCACAGAUCUGACAAAAACACUUACUAGGAUGCCCAAGUAUUUAUCAUGUUCUUUAAAAUUUCAUAUUGUAGCCUUAAGGAGCAAUCUUGUGAAGAACCUUGGAUAUACUACAUCACACUUCCCAAUUAAUAUGGAUCAGGUAAUGUGAAAGGAAAGCCACCUGGGAUGCUGUAGUCCCUUGUCUCCCAGCUAAUACUGAAAUAGCCCCAGGUAGUCUAGAAUCUGCCAGAGGGGAAGAUAUAUAUAUAUAUAUGGAUGACCUAAGGAAACCUGUUGAGAUGUCUUAGUAAGAAAUAGGUAUGUACACUUCUCUUUGAUCAGAGUUUCUUGCUGUGUAAAUGAACUUAAAUCUUAUGAAAAUGCUAGCUUUCCAUAUCUAUCUGUCUAUCUAUCUGUCUCUAUAUACAUGCAUCUUGGGAAAAUCGCAGCAUUAAACAUUUACAGUUACCUAUUCCCUCUGGACAAAAUCAUCACCAAUGUUUAAAACACAGGGGGGAAAAACCUAUUUAUUUUCUUACCACGAGGUAGAAUUGGCAACAUAUUACAAGAGCAGCCUAGUGGAGAUAGGAGGUAGGAGACUUAGAUUUUUGAUGAACCUUUUUUUCAAAAAAAGAUCCCAUUUGUAAAAGCAUUUCUAUGUUGUGAUCAAUUGAGUUUAACCUAAAGCAAUGAUGAUGGUUGGCAUUCUGUAUUGCAGAUUGUCAAGGGAUCUUGUAGCACCUUAGAGACUAAUGGAGAGAACCAAGCUGGUAACAUAGGCUUUUGUAAACUAGGUCUACUUUCUCAGAUUUGUAGCAUAGAGUUAUGGAUCCGUAUCUCCUCCCUACUCAUUAAUACUACACAAUCACAAUAAUAGCACUACAGUAUUGCCAUAAUUGUAAAUUUCAUCUCAAACCUACUUUACCAAGCUACAAUUUUGCUGAGAGAUGGAGGUCUGGUGAGCUGCCAAUCAGGGCAUAGGGGAUGAUGUUCCUAACCCUCUUCCCAUCAGUGAGGGAGAUGGUGACAAUUGGAAGUAGUAUUCCAUCAUAAUUCCUUGUCGCAGUCUCGUGUACUUGCAAGAGGAUAAUAGAAAUAUCAUCGUCCUAUGCCCCAAAUGGCAGCUGAACAGAUCUCCACUCUUGAUAUAGAUGGAGGCUGGUGGAUUGCAUCAGGAGAUAGUACUUAGUUACACAUAGGAACUGUAAAAUAUGGGUCUUUGAUUUUAUAGUACAAAGGUACUACAAGAUCCCUUUGCAAACUGUCAUUGUGCAGUUUGUUACUUUUAUUAGAUGACUAGCUUGGGUACCUGAUGGUGCCCAAGUUA
ensembl:lncRNA